GGGCCCGUAGCUCAGCUAGGAGCAGAUAGCUAGAGUUAGAGCGGGGGCCUCCUAAGCCCCAGGUCGAGGGUUCAAGUCCCUCCGGGCCCG
rnacentral:tRNA from 1 species